rnacentral:rRNA from 1 species
UGGGGAAUAUUGCACAAUGGUGGGAACUCUGAUGCAGCGACGCCGCGUGAACGAAGUAGGCUUUCGAGUCGUAAAGUUCUUUUAUAUGGGAAGAUAAUGACGGUACCAUAAGAAAAAGCCCCGGCUAACUACGUGCCAGCAGCCGCGGUAAUACGUAGGGGGCUAGCGUUGUCCGGAAUCACUGGGCGUAAAGGGUUCGCAGGCGGGAAUGCAAGUCAGGUGUAAAAGGCAGUAGCUUAACUACUGUAAGCAUUUGAAACUGCAUAUCUUGAGAAGAGUAGAGGUAAGUGGAAUUUUUAGUGUAGCAGUGAAAUGCGUAGAUAUUAAAAAGAAUACCGGUGGCGAAGGCGACUUACUGGGCUCAUUCUGACGCUGAGGAACGAAAGCGUGGGUAGCAAACAGG